rnacentral:misc_RNA from 1 species
UUUUUUGGUGAGGAAAUCUGCAAAGGUUCGGACGAGGCCUGUGGAGAAGAAUUUAGAAUUGUCUAUUGUGGCACCACAGUUGAAUGAUGAAGAGAAUGUCAGAAGACAAUAUGGUGUUGGUGAAGGGAAUGAUGGGAGAAGUUAUGAAGUUACUGUACCAAGAAAGUCUCCUGAUAGAGAUUUACCAUUGGAACCUAUUGUUGUUAAUCCCAAAAUUGAAUUGCCCUCUGUGAUUUGGAAUAUGGUAAAUGCUACCUUUGAUGGAUUGGAGGGUGGAAAUAGUCCAAUCAGAUCUAUGGAGGGUACUGGCGGUGCUUAUUUCAUGCAGGAUUCUUCUGGACAGAAGUUUGUUUCUGUUUUCAAACCGAUUGAUGAGGAACCAAUGGCUGUGAACAACCCUCGUGGGCUGCCAUUGUCUGCUGACGGGGAAGGGUUAAAGAAAGGUACAAGAGUUGGAGAAGGAGCUUUUAGGGAAGUUGCAGCUUAUAUUUUGGAUUAUCCAGAGAGAGGACGCCGAUCUUUGUUUGGUGAUGAGAAAGGCUUUGCUGGGGUUCCACCUACAGUUAUGAUCAAGUGUUUUCAUAAAGGGUUUAACCAUCCAGAGGAUGUGGCUGUCAAGAUUGGCUCCUUGCAGAUGUUCGUGGACAACAAUGGAAGUUGUGAAGAUAUGGGUCAUGGGGCUUUUCCAGUGAAGGAAGUUCAUAAAAUCGCUGUGUUGGAUAUAAGAAUGGCAAAUGCAG